GCAUAUCAAUAGCGAGGACGACAAGAUCAUAUAAAGAAUGAACCUCAUUCCGGCUAGCGACCAGGGAUAAGCUCCUUUUUUAAAUCUGUUGGGUUCCACUUAACAAAGUUGUAUUUUGAAAAAACGUUUUCUGCAUCCAGGAUUAUCCUAAAUCCUUUGGGAUAAGGUAUCAUGGAGGGUGAGAAUCCCGUUCAUGGUUAAUCUUAAGGAAGCUCUCCCAUACGUUUUCCAAGAGUCGAGUUGUUUGGGAUUGCAGCUCAAAAUGGGAGGUAAAUUUCUCCUAAGGCUAAAUAUUGGCGAGAGACCGAUAGCCAACAAGUACCGUGAGGGAAAGAUGAAAAGAACUUUGAAAAGAGAGUUAAACAGUACGUGAAAUUGUUGAAAUGGAAACGAUUGAAGUCAGUCUUACCAUCUGGAAAUCAACCUCUUGAGCUCGGUCUCGUGGGUUUUGAAGAGUUUCAAAGCCUUCGGAUUCGCGGGAUUGGGAUCUCCUGGUGUACUUUUUCGUACGGUUAGUCAACAUCGGUUUUGAAUGUCAUAAAAUGACUGGAGGAAUGUAGCUUCGAUCUCGUAUUGAAGUGUUAUAGCCUUUGGUACAUGUGAUGUUUGAGACCGAGGAUUGCAACGGAUACCCUUCCGGCUAUUCGUCUGAUCUCUGAUACGUUGCCUUGAUGUUGAAAGCUCGCUAAUGAUGUUAUGGUAUCUCGGUCAUAAGGUUAGAACGAAUGACAUUCGUUAAUGAUGUUGACGUAAUGGCUUUAAACGAC
rnacentral:rRNA from 1 species